CUUGUGCGGUGGUUCGUGCCGCGCGCGCUUUGUUGGAAGCAUUUUUCUUUUGUUUUUGGACAUCAUGACGCAAGUUUUAGUGAAAUUGCUCUAUGAAGAUAAGUGGGAUGUUUAUCCGUUGAAGACGUUUGCUGACGCAGCUACUGGUCUUCGGGUGAUGUUCGAGCCUGGCAGUUUUGAUGAGUUGCGCGGCAGAAUUCAUGAUGGAAGGAAGGCGAACAAAGCCGCAGCCUAACUUCUGCACACAGGCAAACCGCAUGCCCUGGAGCGAAAGCGCGCGAAGCUAGCGCUUGCUGCCGCCGCUGCUUCGAUUGAAAUGUUACACAUGCACCAAAAGCCCAGGUGCUAACGUGUCGUUCGUCAAGAACAGCUUGGCGUCGUUUCUCGCAAGAGACAUCCAUUGAUGUGCAGCUGAUUCACCAGGAAGCUCGCAUCUCUGUUGCCACUCUGCGUCAAGUGGGAUUUUAAACUAUUUUUUUAUUCUGCCCUGUGGUAUACGCUGUGACGCUGUGAAGACUUACUUUCAUGGACGCUGUGAAGGCGUACUUUCGAUGUGUUCUGCCUUUUAGUUGUAAAGAAUUGGCUACCUUGUGAGUGGAGGUAGUUCCUUUUUCUUGUGAGAAUGUUUAUCAGCCUAACCAAGUGGUACAUGCGUACUUGAAACAGCAGCACAGAUGAGGAUAAUGAAAUAAGUAGGAACACAUACAAGCGCCGACUCAACUAGAAGUUUAUUCUUGAAGACAGGUUGUAAACACAUUGGAACUUGACAAAGAUAAGAAACCAUGUAUGCGUGGCCUUUGUGAUUAAACAAAAUUGUGUUUUCUGCUGUAAGGGGUAGAACGAACAAUUGUUUCAUCACAAAGAUCAGAACACAAGAGAAAUUAUGGAAGCCUUAUUUAUUGAUUGCAAAGAAGACAAAUGCAUAAGCUAUCUGUUGCUCUUAAUGGGAAAGAGUUGGGAUUUUUAAAACAGCUCUCCUUGUUUGGUGGUAUCACUUAUAGGACAUCUUUCACUGUUUUUUUUUUACCUGCAUAUUUAUACUACAAAACACGUCUUUCAUUCCUUUUUUUGUUGCACCGGGCUGUCUGCCACGCAUGCAUGGCUAUUUCUUUGUUAAGUUGGCCAGUGUGCUUAAUAUCUUUGUCGUCGCGAACAAACUUCUAGUUGAGUCAGCAUUAUUGUGUUCCUACCUUAUUUCACCGUUCUCAUCUUUGUUUGAGCUGUUUGUAAAGUAUGUACACACACCAAAUUACCAAAGUAUCCGUAAAAUUGAGAUACAUGAAGUUAUUUGCACUAUUCAUUUCUGCAAGAAUGGUAUAGCUUCUCAU